GAAAAGUGAAUCUCAAACAUGUGACCUGAAGCCAUCCAAAAAGCAAAGAACACCUGCUAACUUGGAAAGGGACAAAAUACUUCAGGCCCCUGGACAACAGUGACAGAGAAGGCCA
rnacentral:lncRNA from 1 species